AAUCCGCCAUUUUGAGGUCAUCGUUUGUAGUGUAAGAUUCGUUGUAGGUGUUGGAGUUGGCCUGUAACUGUAAUCGCUUAUAGUUUCCAUCAUUUCUGUCGGGAAUUGUUUUCUCGUUGUACUGCUUACGAAGGACAACAAAAAUGAGCUACGGAAGGCCACCUCCACGUAUAGAAGGAAUGGUUUCCUUGAAGGUUGAUAAUUUGACCUAUCGAACAACGCCUGAGGAUUUGCGUCGCGUAUUUGAGAGAUGUGGUGAAGUAGGUGAUAUUUAUAUCCCACGCGAUAGAUUUUCACGAGAGAGCAGAGGAUUUGCUUUUGUGAGAUUUUAUGAUAAGCGCGAUGCAGAGGAUGCAUUGGAUGCAAUGGAUGGUCGCCUUCUGGAUGGAAGGGAGCUCCGUGUCCAGAUGGCUCGAUAUGGAAGACCAUCAUCUCCAUAUCGUCGUCAUAGCCGUAGGAGGAGGUCUCGUUCCCGUUCUCGUCGUCGUUCUCGCACCAGGAGUCGGUCUCGAUCUCGUUCCCGCCAUUCACGCUCAAGGUCACGUCGCCGCUCAUACACGCGUUCUCGCAGCCGUUCCAGGUCACGCUCAGACAGCAAAAGUUCUCGUGGGAAAUCUCAUUCCCGCAGUAAAUCUCCUCGUGAAAGCAAAAGCAAGUCACGAUCCAAGUCAAAAUGAAAAGGGUGAUGGUUGCUAGGUGAUUGGUUUCAGCACUUUAUAUUUAGUGGAAUAGAGAUGGAAGCAGACUUCUGCAUUUUGAAAGGGUGGGCGGUAGUGAUCGAGCGAGAGAGGCAGUGGCAGAUUGCAGUGUAAGCUGUGUUGGGGUUCGGUGUUGCGGUGGCAGUGUAGCAGUGCAGUUGCGGGGCACAUGGCAGUCAGGGGUAGCGAGAGCGGGUAGCUGAUGGCAGUGCGUGCCGACGUGUGUUCGUGGUGGUGGCGUUCAUCAUCCGUUCCUGCCGAACCAGUACCAAUUUCAGCUCUGAAUAUCCAUGUUUUCCCAUCAGUAUUCAUCCUAACUUUGGUCCUGUUUUGAUCUUGGAAUUUUCCAUAAUGUUCCUGAAUUCCACCAGCCUGCAUCUCCAGUCAACUGGUAUGUUGGUGCCUUCAGACCCCCUUAGAUUUCGCAAAUUGCACCUUUUAUGUGGUUCAUAUCACUUCCCUUCUGUUACACAUUAAGUCUGUGGGGUGUGGUCCCUUGUAUUACACGUAUAAAGUAUAUGUGAAAUUUGAGGGUCCCAUUUCCUGGUUUUUAUGUUGAAGCCAGCUGUAAUAUGGCGGUAAUUCCCUUUGGAAGCAGUUAGUGAUCUCUGGAGGCUCUUGCAUUUUCUAUUUUUGCCAUCUGCAAGUAAACCAAAUUGCCCUUUGCUCGUCUACACCUAAGCUGUUGAUUUGACCCCAUUUAUCAGUUUAGGUCCUGCUUUUGUCUUUGCAUGGAUAUAGUUUUGGCUGCCACAAUUCUUAAUAAGUCAUCAUUUUCAUGUUGGAAGAGUUGCUUCUCCAAGCAGCGGAUCAGUUCACACAAGCGAAAGAUAGGAUAUGUAUCGUGAUUGGUCAGCACAACUACUAACACAGCAUUCACGUAUAGUUAUACUGUGUUGUGUGAACUAUACUGGGACCACAGGAAGAAGUCCCAGGUAUCAGCCACCAACACAUGUCCCUUGAAUUGUUGUGAUUCCCCAUCCACCAUACUUCUACAUAUUGCCUUCCAUUCAUAUAAUCAUUCUGAUAAUAGGAAUGUGGCAGUGAUAGUUGUAGGUAGUGGAGAGGCACUUUGGGCCAGCUGUUGGAGGGCAAUACAAGUGGGAAGCCUCGAGCACAGUCCACCAGUGCAUACCUGGGACUUUUUUUUUUCCAUGGCCUCAGUACAGUAAAUGCCAUUUAUUUGUGAUGUGAAAAUUACCGAAAGCUGGGAUAUGCUUUAAGUUUUCUUCCCAUUUGAACAAAGUGCAGGUACGUAAGUGCUUCGGCUAUGUUUUAGUCUUAACGUCACGAAAGAUUGAUAAGGAGAUGGUGGUAGCAGGAAAGAAGGUAAGACCAGAAAAGGUAGGUAGGUUACAAUUGCUGGGUUAGACCCUUAGAGAGCAUUUUGCUAUAAACGUUACUCAGUCCCAGCUGGUAAAAUGCGCUGAGGAGCUCAGUGCAACUAAAUCAAUCUUGGCUUUUUUUUUUCUGUUGUCUUGACUAAAUGUGGGUAUAGGUCAGAAUCAUUUCUGCUUUUGUUAGAGGCAGUGUUCGUUGCACAUGUAAAUGGGAAGGUAGUUCAUAAACCCAUUGCAAAAUGAAUAUCUUAAAAUUUUAUGAAAGAUUGUAAGUAUUGGUUGAAGUUGCAGUGUUUUUCUCUGUGAAUAUUCUUUUCAAGUACAAUUUAUUUAUUUUUAGUUCAACAGUGUUCUAAGAAGAAAAAGUCAUGAUGGAAGAACUUCUGGCUGCUGCUUUCUGAUAAUUAACUAUGUAGUGGUACCAUUUUGUCAAUAAACCCUUUCCAACAACUGAA